AGUAAGUGUGUGAAGCCAGAUUUGAAUGGAGGAAGAGGAGUCAUCCUGACUCUAGGCUCCUUUACUCUAUCCAUUAUGCUACCUAGAUGCCCUGAAAUUGGAAGAAGUCGCUAAUGUUAGUGCUUUGUCCUUCUAUAAGAGAGAAUCAAUAACAUCACAGGAUAUCAUAUCACAGGCAAGACAAAACUGACGAUGACUUGGGAUGGUCUGAUAAUGAUGAUCUUGGCAUCUUUGAUGUCUGACCAGGCUCUAAGCCCUCCACACUACCUGCUUCAGCUGCCUUCCUGACUGCUGGAACAAAUUGUUCUCAUCUACCCAUUCACCAGGAGAAAUCUUCACCUGCUUGGGACAGUUUUAGUCCCUGGGGCACCUUCUUCAAGAAGGACUUGAGAAGACCUCUUGUGUGAAGGCUGAUGAAUCUGAUUUCGCUGCCAAAUUACCCCAAGCAAUCUAGCCAAAUAGAGUGUGCACCAUGGGCUCUGUCACCACCAUAUGUCCCCUGAACAACUCCAGUGGGAUGUGGGACAAGAUGUACAAUCAGCUCCUUUCAAACCUAGCUCCUCCACUGCGAAUUUCAGGAUGCAUUGAUUCACGCCUAGGCAAAUCCAGCCAUCAAUCUGACCUGCCCAAGACAGCUGUAGGCUAAAGGAAUGUAAGGGCUUGCAGCAACAGAAACAUUGGAAAGCUGGGGAAGUGUGGGCAGAAUGCUUGUGGUGCCGUUCUCCUGCCAGUGUUCUGCUGCACAGUAAUGUCAUCUUGUCUGGCAGGGGGUACCCUGAAGGCUCUGGCUCUGCCACUCGCCCUUGCUCCAAAUCUCUAGUUCUCUAUUUGAUGUGUUACUUGGCUGGACAAAGUUACAGGAAAUGUCAUCUUCCUUCUCCUGUGGUCAUGAAAUAAAUGAAUAAAUUACUCAAC
ensembl:lncRNA